rnacentral:lncRNA from 1 species
AGAACAAGCAGAUUCUCCCACAUAUAGAUCAGGCUAUCUAUUGCCCGUAACUUGAAAGUGGGUAUUUUUUUUUUUUUUCCAAAGUGGCACUACUGGUGAGUCACAUGGCACAUGUAAAUAUUUUUGCAUAUAUAUAGUUGAAUAAGCUUUCAACUUCUCUCUAAUGCAUGUAUAGCCGGCCUAACGGUGAUUACAAAGUUACAAAUGCUUCCUUGUACUGUCCAAGUUUAUCUCACCUUUACAAUUCUUUGUUAAGAAUUAUUUACUGAAGUGAGAAUUUGAUCUUAUUGGCCUGCUUCGUCUUGUUUAUGGACAAGAAUAUCUAACUCCCUGUUUGCAGAGAUACAAUGAUAAAUCUCUGGGGGGUUAUAUGAAAUUGGUCUUGAAAGAAUUAUAUCCAACUUUUGAGGCAGACAAUGCCAUAAUUUCUUACAUUCUAGGCAUUGCAUGAUGUCCUUCAACUAUAUCAAGAAUUUGGGAAGUGCAUGUGAUGGAGAUAAAAUGCUGUUU